rnacentral:rRNA from 1 species
CCUACGGGGGGCAGCAGUCGAGAAUCUUUCACAAUGGGGGAAACCCUGAUGGUGCGACGCCGCGUGGGGGAAUGAAGGUCUUCGGAUUGUAAACCCCUUUCAUGUGGGAGCAAAUUAAAAAGCUUGUACCAUAAGAGGUAGAGACGGUUAACUCUGUGCCACUAGCCGCGGUAAUACAGAGGGCUCAAGCGUUGUUCGGAAUCACUGGGCGUAAAGGGUUCGUAGGCUGUUUUGUAAGUCGUGUGUUAAAGGUGCGGGCUCAAACCGCGGAGGGCACAUGAUACUGCGAGACUAGAGUAAUGGAGAGGGAACCGGAAUUCUCGGUGUAGCAGUGAAAUGCGUAGAUAUCGAGAAGAACACUCGUGGCGAAGGCGGGUUCCUGGACAGUAACUGACGCUGAGGCACGAAGGCCAGGGGAGCGAAAGGGAUUAGAUACCCGAGUAGUC